UACAGGGCCGGCCUUAGGGGUGUGCGAGCUGUGCGGCCGCACAGGGCGCCAUGGCAGCAGGGGGCGCCCUAUGGCUGACAGCUUGCACACCCCCUGCCCUCUACCAGGGCUUAGCAGCGAAAGAGACUGUAGGAGGCGGAGCCAAGCAGCCGAUGGGGGCGGAGCCAAGUGGUCGGCGGGGGCGGAGCUAACCGAGGCCUGAAUCUGCUGCCUGGUAAGUGAG